rnacentral:rRNA from 1 species
AUUGAACGCUGGCGGAAUGCUUUACACAUGCAAGUCGAACGGCAGCACGGGGCAACCUGGUGGCGAGUGGCGAACGGGUGAGUAAUACAUCGGAACGUGCCCAGUCGUGGGGGAUAACGUAGCGAAAGCUACGCUAAUACCGCAUACGAUCUACGGAUGAAAGCGGGGGACUCGCAAGAGCCUCGCGCGAUUGGAGCGGCCGAUGGCAGAUUAGGUAGUUGGUGGGGUAAAGGCUCACCAAGCCUGCGAUCUGUAGCUGGUCUGAGAGGACGACCAGCCACACUGGAACUGAGACACGGUCCAGACUCCUACGGGAGGCAGCAGUGGGGAAUUUUGGACAAUGGGCGCAAGCCUGAUCCAGCCAUUCCGCGUGCAGGAUGAAGGCCUCGG